CAAAUCAUGCAAAUAGUAAUAAAUUAUGUAAAUAAUAUCCCAAGAUAACAACACACAGUGAGCGUCUUCCCCCAGUGCGGCAAUUUGCUGAAGUGUCCUUGAGCAAGACAGAAUAUUUGAGCCAUUCGUGCUCAAGAGGCUGUGUAGGGGUUGGCUGAGCCUGUGCAUAAAUCUGAGGGCUCUAGGAGAAAUUCCCCUUUUUGGAUUAAUAAUGAAUAUAAAACUAAAAGUACCAACUGUGCUCUGUAGGUAUGUUGAGUUUAAGUUGCUAUAACAAAACAGCAUUUGUCCCCAGCAUCCCUAAAGUCAAGGUUCUGUUUAGUGGCCCUGAGAGCUUAAUGCACUGCAAUUUAGAAAACAAAGUAUGACACUAAAUAAGGAACUAUAUCUUGUUUUAUAUUAUAUGAAGGAUAUGCAUUAAUGAAUAUUUAUUGUUUUUGUUUACCUUGUGCACAGACAAAGAAAUGCAUUUUAUUAUGUACUGUAAUUAACUAUGUUUUACAGAGACUGUCCUUCCAAGGUACAGACAAAUUAUGUCUUACCAAUAUCUUCUGAAAGGGAUGCCAGUUUAGAAAAUGCUCCUAACGGUUUCAAAAAGCAGAGUUACUGAAUUAUUUGGAUUACUUUGCAAAGUAAAACCUGGAACCAUAACAAAAAUUGAUAAUGCCCCUCGGAAAUCAAAAAUGAACUGAGAGGUUCCAGACUAAAGUGAAUUUGCGAAUUUGGUUUGGCGAUGCAUGGCUAAGUAAACCCGCCUCUUGCAACAAACCCAGAGGGUUGAGCUGCUAUUACUGUGCUGAACUUGAUGAAAGCUUCACUGUGUAAAAGAGACAGAACAAUACUCUGAAGACCAGGCCCAUUGUUAGAUGUACCUCAAACUCUUUAUCUUCCUGACAUCAAUUAUGCAGCCUUAUUUCAUUUCCAAUGACAGAACAGUGUUAUAAAUAAAUCUAUCUCGCUUACAGAGCCCCAAGCAAUCGAAAAACCCGUCUGUGUAUUUAUGGAUUUAUUUGCUUUUCAAGUCUUUAAUUGGGAGUAUGAUUCAAAGAUAAAUAUCCUGGAGCCUUGCCAACUCCCUAGUUCUUUUCUACAACUUUAGUCUUAGUCUCUGUGGCUUCUCCAUAUUAAAAUUCUGGAUCAGUCACAAGAGAAAAGUAAUUUUCCACAGUGAAGACUUUUCCUCCAGUCUAGAUUUUGUUUGUGUUGUCUGUGUUUUCUCUGUUUUGUUUAGCCUCAUUAACUGGAGCUACCCUCAUUACACGUUAGGAAACAUUAUUUGCCAUUGUGAUUUCUCCAUCAAAUCAUUAUUCAUAGACUUCCGAUGAUACACAGCGCUGUCAGGCCGUUAUCGUCCUGAUGAUGUACAUUUUCAUUUGCUGGAAUUCAGUGAAUCUCAUCUCCUGCUGUGAAAAUGUGCUACGAAGAGUUGUUCAAACCGCUAUGUAUCCAUUUUAAAAAAUCCUAUAAAUUACCUUUAAGUAUCUGUAAAAUAUAGAGGAUAUAGAAGAUGUGAUUUUGACCAUCCAACUAGCAACCAAAAACAAACCUAAUUCAGUUAAUUUCAAUUCAGUUUGAUUCAAUUCAAGUCAGUUUUUCUUCUCCAAAAGGGAACUUAGAGUCAUGCAUACAUGCAACAAGACUAAGAGUCGACAGUUAUGCUAGUAGCAUGCUAACGUGUUGACAAUGACAAUGCUAUACAUGCUGCAUUUUCUUUAUCAUGUUGACUAACUUAGUUUAGUGUGUUAGUAUGAAAACAGCUGCUAUUAAUGGGAAUGUCAUUAGUUUUGCAUUUUAUUUGGUGAUAAACUUAGUAUUGGACAGAUGCUUGCACUAGAUCAUUCACAAAUGCCAACCUCAACUAAGAGAAGUCAGGGAUCAACAAAAGCCUAAAACAAGAGAAUCCCACUGACCACAAAUCACUAAAUGUCAUAAUUGUAAUAACUAAUCAGUGGGAAAUUACAUAUCUUUCAGUUGACAAACAGGCUACUAUGGUGGUUUCAAAGCUGUAUUCAUUAUUACAGGACGAGUUGUAAACAAAAUUAUGACAUAUUCAUAUUUGAUAGGAUACACUUUUGUGUAUCCCUGAGUCAUUUAACAUAUGAAAACAUUUUAAAGAAAGAAAAAAGACUGAUUUUUAUAUAAAAAUACUCAAAAAAAAGUUUUUUUAACAUAUAUUUGGCAUGAAACAAGAGGUAAUUGAACAAUUAAUACAGGGACACAAGAUUAGAACUGAAAAAUGUAUUUUUUUAAUUUCAUUGUGCCUUCAAGUAAAAAUACUUCCUCUCAAAAUGGUGAAAACAAAGCACGACAGAGACCCCAUGUCUGAGCCCCCAAAUCACUAAAUCCACCCGUCAGUACUCCAAGGCGAAACGUAGAGAGGAUUUUUUGGUACACUAGAGAAAUGACAACUCCUGCUGGCCUUUUAGAAAUCUUGGUCUUUCUGUUUGUGCUAAAGCACCAUGUUAAAUGGUUUACAAAGCAACACUCUAAAUACAACAGAUACCAAACAUAAUGAUACUGUAUCUCACCCGCUAACCUGUCAGACAAGCCUAUAACUUCCCAGAAGCUGAAGUGCACAUGCUAUCUGACACUUUUACUUUGUGACCCAUGUGAUUUUUCUUCUGGUGAAAUGCACUCCACUAUCAGUAGCAUCAUGCCAGGUUCUGUUUUGAAGAUACAUCAUUGCAGAAAUUGAGCUGCACAGAAAAGGGGCCAUAGGUGGCAGAGUGCACUGUGUUAUGGAGCAGUUAAUCUCUGUCAGAAUCUUUAUUUGAAAUGAAGAAUCCAUCCCUGCUGUUUGCUUUGGAUUCUUCAAGGGUGGGACCAGUAUACAAUAUCCUGACAGUCAAACACCUUGUCCAGUUGGCAGAUUAGUAGGAUUCAGCAGGAAUAUGCACAAAGUAUGCCCUGGAUAAUAAUAGAUCAUAGAAAAACAAGAGAAGAACCAGACCAGCUGGGAGACAGAAACACUGGGGAUAGUGUAUGGCCCUCUUAGUGCCGACCUCAUGUUAUACACUGUGAUGUGGCAAAGAAGGAAAAACAAAAUCACAUGGGGCCAUUUUAGAAUGGAAAUUGUGUCUAUGUUUGAGGAACAGGACAUUUAGUUGUAACGUUAGGACAAUGAUCUGCAAUCAGUGUCCUUUUGUUGAAUGCUGCUCUACACUGUAUGCCUGAUUAAGCCACUUCUUGAACUGCCUGCAUAGUUUUUACCUAUUGUGCAGUUGAUUUCUUUCAUACUUAUUCAAUACUAUAUACUUACUCUACUUACAAUACUACUAACAUACUUACUCAGCUUAGUUAAACAAUAUUUUUCCAGCUACAUGGCUGGACUGUAAGCUGCCAAUUUAGAAUGGAAAGUAACUGGAAGAAAAACAGAUGCAACUGAAAAGCUCAUCCAGUUAUAUCACUUUAAUAACAGCAUUCUGCUGUGGCUUUAAUGAGGUUUGAAGAAGGCUUCUUUGGGUCAGUACAUACAAUAAGACUUACAAUUUUAAGUACACAAACACACAGUUGCACAUGGACGUAAAAGGGCCCACAUCCACAGGCACAAAAACCCUUUCGUUAGGUUUAAGAAAAGAUCAUAGUAUGGGUUAAAAUAAGUAUUUUGUUAGUGUUACAGAAACAUGGUUUGGGUGAUUAUUUUCUUAAGGUUAGAAGACCUAUGUUGUCUUUGUUACAAUAGGUUUGGGGGCAAUAGUGGCUAUGGUUUUUAAAACACAGGUUUGACUUGCCAUCUCCCACAACAAAGUCCAAUGUUUUGUUGACCCGUCCAUGAACUCAUCUGAACUCCUUAUUUGCUUCCGUCUUAAUAACUAAAGCCAAUAGAAGGCUUCUGUCACUUGAAUGUAAAUAUAUGUCAUUUUGGGCCACUUGCAUUGACAACUGAUCCUGUUGUCAUUGUUGUUAGGAUAGUCUGGAAAACUCCCAGUUACCCACUGAAAUGUUUCCCAGGAAACAUGAGCAGAGUUUGGCAAGAAUUCCUGAGAACUCAUUGACUCAACAAAACUCAUUGACUUGCAAGGUUUGGCAUACAGCACUUGAAAUGUAGCUGUAAACAAACAAACACACAAACAUAAAGAAGCAGAGUCAGAGCGUCUCCAUGAGAGCCUCAUCGACCCGUCUUCAGACUGUAGCUUCAGGCUGAAGUUUUCAGAGACAUCACUGACUGUUUACUGUUUUGGUGCUAUGUGGAGAAGGAGUACUCUGAAGAGGCUCUCUACCAGUUGCAGACAUCCAGGUCUACCUACUUGUGUGAGCUCACUUUCUUAGCUAUGACACACAUAAAGACAAAACAGAGAAACCGACUUCAACUGGAGAGAAGUAUCAUUACAGCUGUUGCCGCUAUUCAACCCAAGUUACAGAAGAUCCUAAGUGGCAGACAAGUGUAAGUGUUUCACUGAUGGCUACACAGCACCUCUCACCACACACACACACAUACACACACCAAAAGUGCAGAUGCUUGGAUUAAGACUCCUUCACCACAACACACCCACAUGACAUACAGAGUGAGGAUGCUUUGCUUGGAACACACACCUUCUCCUCUGCCUCUACAGACAGACAGCACUAAUGGAUUUAAUUAUAUAAAAGUCAUUGAAAUCUCAUAUUCAUGUUUUUGUUUUUGUUCUUGAAGAGUGCAUAAAUAUGCUAUUUUGACAACCUGUUCUCACUCCCAGCUUGUCACAAACGGAAGCUUGGUCAGGACUGCUUGGCAUAACUUUUUAACGCACUGGGUACCUCUUUAGCAUCAUUUCAACGUGCAGACUUCUAUAGAACUCCCACAACAUCUGAAAUUGACGCCAUGAGACUGAUGACAUCGAUAGAAGGUGACAAAUUUCCAUAUUAAGAGGAGGUGGGUUGAGGCAGGUUGGGUGAAUGGCUAGAUAGAUGGCAAAAAGUGGACUUCCCGUUUCCAGUGGCAACUGUCACGUUUCCAACCGCUAGAUGGGACAGUUUUUAAAAAAAAACUGUAAAUAUGAUUGUCGUGGUGUUUACUGUUGCCUUGAUGAUGGAGGUUGCGUAACUUUAAGGAAGCAAUAACACCACGGGGGUCCUCAGGGCCGCUCAAAAUAUACAGGGGUUCCAGUAGCAUCCCAUAAAGGUUGAGGUUUCCAUGUUCCAUGUAUUCAUAUAUUACAUGAAUAUUGGUCAUAUUCAUCCUGCAUACUUUGUGACAGUCUGAGUACUUGCACUUGAGACAUUAGUCAGCUAUGUCAGUAUAUUUAUUACCGUCGUGCUCCAAAAUGUAUAGUCUAUGUGGUGUGUCUCUAGGUGUCAAAAAAAGGAAUUAAAUUAAAUGUUGAUGUGCCCUUAACUUUUUUCAGUGUCCAUUGAUUGUGAUGAACUCAGAUGUACUCUUGUUGAUGAUGUAACUGAUUAUGGAUUAGUACCAGGUGUGAAAUGUGCGUAUAUAUAAGGCUGUAUUUUGAACUUGCCUUGAGAAGGACCUAAUGUAGUUGAAACGUGGAUUAUAUAGUAAAAUUGUUGGAGUUUAGUGUGCCAUUGUGUUCCCUUUGAUAUACAGUAUGCUAUUGGCAUGACCAGUACCUAGUUUCGGGUGUGCAUUUAUCAGACAACUCUUAGGGCCAAAUCCACAAAGAAUGGAUCAUGUGCUUUAAUAGCACCGUGAAUUACGCAGCAUUUGCAACUGUAAUCUGCCCCGUUUUAAGGUCCUUUUCACAAAAGAUUUUGUGCCAACAAUAUGCCGGCACAAACACACCCAUAAAGUUUUGCAGCUGAGUGCAAUUUGCCCUUGUUGUGCGUCUGAUUGAUUGAGUGGAGCGGUUUCCAGUGUUGCAAGCUUUUCUCCACGUCAGCACACAGAUUGGUCCAUAAUGAAAACUGCAGACAGCACAAAAUGGCAUGUCUUUAAUUAGCAGAGGUGCACACACACAGAGCUCUCCACAAUGACAAACCAACUUUCAUGUAUUUUGCAUUUCUUACUUUUGCAUCUCUAACAUAAUCUACUGAAAUAUUUAUCAAAAUAGGCUACAGCUAUUAAUGCGUCACUGAAUGUUUCCGGGAUUUCAUAGAAACAUCAGUACUGAUGUUCUGUUUGUUGCCCACAGCUGGGUAAGUGCGUCUCCAAACUGAGAAAGAGGCUGUGCACAUUUACGCAUGCAGCACAUCAGCGGUAACUUCAUCAACAUCGGAUCGGACAGGAUCUGACGAGACUCUGUUCAUUCCCAAAUCCUUCAUCUGAUGAUGCAAACUCAGGCCAACCAGCAGCAAGAAAGACACAUGGUUGUUCAGAGACUCUUUACUGGCCAUUGUGAAUGUCCCUGGACAGCAUGUAGAGAAUAUUGCCAUGUGUGCAGCUGUUAGCCAGCAAGGUGUCCUCCAUCACCAUGUCAACCUUGGUCCCUGCAACACAGACCUUCUCAUAACACUGCUGGACACACUACAUGGCAUCCUCAUUCCAGUCGAGCAGAGGGGUGGACCACAGCAGCCCAGGUAUCUUGUCAUCUGGGACAACAUAGUUGUACUGCUCUGUUCCGCAACUGGUUCAUUGACCACCUACAAUUUAUUGCUCUAUACCUCCCACCAUAUUCCCCAUUCCUAAACCUCAUUCAAGAGUUUUUUUCAGCUGGCAUGGCGAUGGGAGGUGUAUGACUGCUAUCCGCUUGCAUGCAUGCUUUUUCUCCAGGCAAUGGAGGCUGCAUGUGGUGACGGUGAUGUGGGGGCUUUUGGCGGACAGAUCCAUCACUCCAGAAAAUAUGUUCCCUGCUGUUUAUCUAGGGAGAACAUUGCUUGUGAUGUAGAUGAGGUGCUGUGGCCAGACCAAAAUAGGAGGCAGGAUGCAAUCUAAUUUCUUUUUUCUUACAUUUAGUGUUUGUUUUUCUUUUUUGUGUUUAGAGUUUUGAAAAAAAUAGCCACUUUAUUUAUUUAUUUUUUUCAUCUUAGUGAAUAUUUUUUUCCUAGUUUUCUCCUGUUGGGUAUGUAAAGUGUUACAUAACAAAACAAAAAUGUUCCAAAAUACAUUUGCAUAAAAAAAAAAUA